AAAUUUUAAAGUCUAGUGUCUACAAAGGACAGUGAAAAAGGAAAAAAACUAGAAUUCUCCUGUGUGUCCAUGUGGCUCAAAGUGUAAGUGUCAUAGUAUAGUAAACCUAUUAUAUUAUCAAAAAAUGUGAUGGUAUAGUUUGAUUAAAAAAAUAUAGUAUAGUAUAAUAAAAAAUCAUAUUGUAGUAUAAAGAAUGUAAUAGUAUAGUUUAAAAAAAUAUAUCGUAGUAUAGUAUGAUAAAAAUAUCCCAGUAUAGUAUAAUAGAAAUGUCAUUGUAUAUUGUGAUAAAAAAUGUCAAUGUAUAGUACGAUAGAAAUGUCAUAGUAUAGUAUGAUAGAACUGUCAUGUUAUAGAAUGAAAAAAAUAUAGUAUAGAACAAUAAAUUGUUACAGUAAAAUAUAAUAAAAAUCAUAGUAAAGUAUGAUAAAAAUAUAAUUUAAUGAAAUAAAAAUGCCAAAGGAUAGUCAUUAAAAAUGUCAUAGCAAAGUAUGAUAAAAAAAUAUCACAGUAUGGUAUGAUAAAAAUGUCAUAGUCUUGUAUGUUAAAAACGUUAUAGUAAAUUAUGAUAAAAAUAUCAAAUUAUUGUAUGAAAAUAAUACUUGUUCAGUACGAUAAAAAAUAUCACAUUAAAGUAUGUUAAAUAUCACAACAUAGUACAAUAAAAAUGUCAUAUCAUAGAAUAAUAAAAAUACCAAAUUGUAGUAUGAAAAUAAAUCCUUAAUCAGUACGAUAAAAAUAUCAUAGAAUAGAAUGAAAACAAAAUAUGUUGUUAUUGUAUGGAAAAAUGUCAGUAUAGUAUGAUAAAAUAUAUUAUAGAAUGAAAAAAUGUCAUAGUAUAAAGGUAGUUGAAAAAUAAUAGUUAAGUAUGAUAAAAAUAUCAUAGUAUAGUAUGAUAAAGUGUCAUAAAACAGUAUGAUAAAAAAUCAUAUUAUAGUACAAAAAUGUAAUAGUUUAGUUUGAUUAGAAAAAUCAUAGUAUAGUAUGAUAAAAAUAUCCCAGCAUAGAAUAAAAAAUGUUAUUUAUAUUAUAAUAAAAAUAUCAUAGUAUAGUAUGACAAAGUGUCAUAGUAUAGUACAAUAAAAAUGUCACAGUAUAUUAUGAUAAAAAAAAUGUCAUAGUAUGGCAUGAUAGAAAUAUCAUAGUUUAGUAGGAAAAAAAUGUCAUAGUAUUUUAUGAUAAAAAAAUAUCACAGUAUAAUUAGUAUAGAUAAAAAUGUCAUACUAUAGUAGGGUUAAAAGAUUCCCUCCAAAUAUUCUGUCUUAAAAUGAACCGGUCCAGUUAUCUGCAUAGUCAAUCUCUGUGUCAACAUCAACAAUCUGAGACUAGAGUCAUUAUGGAAGGUCUAACUGAGAUGCUCUUCUUAGGGAGUCCUCUGCCUUCAGUGACAUACGUUUCGCAUACGGAUUGGGUAGCAACAGGGGUAAAGGGAUCAGACCUCUCUCUUUAAUGCAGCUGACUGUGCAGGGUCCUUCCACUAGAGGGAGUCCUACUCAAAGCCAUGAAGAGAUGUCUGGCUCACUUAACGUGAUAAAGUCCUACACAUACAUACUUAACAAUGCAAACAAAGACAUAGAAAUUGACCCUUUGUGUCUGACAAAAAAAAGGUAAAACUUGAAGUUAAACAUCCAAUUAAAAGAUUGAAAACAUUUUCAGCCACAUUCCUACUUUUAUUGUUAGCCAACAAAACCAACUGAUAAUAAUCUCACUCCUUUUAUCUAAAAUCCCUAAUAUAGUCAGAUCAUUUGAAGUCAUAGCUGGAAGAGGCUGAGCAUGUUUGGCCUCUGAAGUGAGAAUGAGAUUCCAGGUUUCCAGCUGUGUUCUGGACAUAGUCUGGCCUUUCUUAAAUCACUAACUUGGUUGUUUCCCUCUCUGUCUUUGAUUUGGUUGGAGAGAACUUCCAGAUAUUAUCUCAGGAGCUUCAAACAAAAGUCGUGAGGACAUUUUUAUUAUCAUUAAUAGCAAGCUGUGCAAUAAAAAAAAACACUGCAUACUAAAAAAAUAGUCUUUUACAGCACUGCUUCAAUUAAGCGUUUUAUUAAAGUUUUUAAGUGACAUCAUUGCAAUUCAAAGUUUUACAAGUUUGUCAUGUCAGCCACAAAAACUCAUAAAUUUUGUUGUUUGGCUUAUAUCGUUUUUACAUAUCGUUGUUAUAAAAGCUUUCAGUUUUUGUAACAGGUUGAUUAGUUAAAGAGGGAUUAUAUGCCAAAGCCCUAUGCUAUCAUCAUCACAUGAUUCAUUAUGACAGGCUGCAAUAUCAAAUUAGGUAACAGUAACUCAUUAAAACUCUUGUGUGGAGUUUUUUUAUGACUACAAUUCAUAUUGAUGCCUUUGUAUGACACACAAAAGCAAACAUGACCAUAAAUUAUUGGACUGUAUCUUUUUAUGAUGUAAAUAUUAAUGCCAGAAACAAGUGAGAGGGGGAGUAGGUGUCAGUGAAGCAGCUAAAAAAAACAAGACAUGUUUUUUCCAGUAGCCAAGCUUAAUUUUCCUGUUAAAUCUUACAUUUCACAACUAUAUCUAAGCAUGUAGAAGACAAGAUAAGCAAAGACUGUUUUGUCCACAGAGGGGCGCCAAAUAUAACGUAUAGUGGAGGUUCCUCACCAAUCAAUCAGUAAUAUUAGAAACAAUUAAUACUGUAAGUUGAACUACUACUUGGGGCCCACUACAUCAUAUAUGUCUACUCCUUCUUGAAGUACUUGUGAUUUGCAUUGAUUUUGGUGCCCCCUGUGGACAAAUAAGGACCUCAUCUCUUUGCUUAUCAAUACAAUACAAUACAAGAACUUUAUUUAUCCCCAAAGACAAAUUCAUUUAUCUAAAGUCUCAUCUAAAGUGUCAUCUACUUUUUAUAGAAGAAUUAAAAAGUCUAAUAGCUGUGGGUAUAAAAGAUCUUCUGAAUCUCUCCAUCCUGCAGUGAAGGACAAAAAUCUUAGCCUGGUUCCUCUAAGAGUCAAAUGUAUCACUCGAAAUCAAUACUUGCAGAGGAAGUAUAAAUAAAUAAUAACUUUAAUAACUUUAUUUUUAUAGCACUUUUAAAAACAGAAGUUUACGAAGUGCUUUGACAAACGGUUGCAAAGCACAGAACAUCAGCACAUGAAAAUAAAAACAAAUAAAAACAAAAGCUCAGUUAAAAACAAGGCCUCCGAAUCGAAGACCAGUUUCAUUUUUCAUAAGAAACCCAGGCGAUACAAGAACCCUACAGCAUAAAAUGAGACUAUGAGGACCAAAAUAAAAAUAUAAAUAGGUAAAGAGAAGAAAUGUAAUAGAAGAGAGGACAGAAAGCAGGAAACAAGAAAGUAAAUAUAAAUAAGGAUAUAAAUAACGAUAAUAAAAUAAUGAUGGAAUAUUAAUGAUAAAAUGGAAUAAUUAAAAUGAGCAGGUAAAACAAUUAAAACCAUAAAGGGCCUAAAAGGUAAAAUAAGAAAAGAUUAUAAGUAAAACAAAGGCUAAAAGGAUAGUAAGCCGAAAUAAGAUAAAGAAGUAAAAGAGAUAAGUGAAAAAAGAGAAAAGACAGCAUCACAUAAAAGCAAGUCUGUAAAACUGAGUUUGUAAUUUGACUUAAAAGAAGCGACUGUCUCUGCUGUACGCCUUAUCUCCUCUGGCAGGUUAUUCCAAAGUUGAGGAGCUCUGAUGGAGAAAGCUCUAUCACCUUUAGUUUUGAGCCUCGACUUUGGAACCACCAGAUUUCUGGCUGUUGGUUUGAUGAUUACUGAAUGUGGACCGAGACAAGACUGCAUGAGGGGGAAUUACUUAUGUUACAGAGAAUUAUUUCAGAUUUUGAUUUAAUUUAGUUGAAAGAAAUUUUCUGCCAACCAACAGUUAAUGUCACUUAGACAGUCCGUGACAGCAGCUAGGCCUCCUGGGUCCUCAGGUCUUAAAGGAAGGUAGUGAGUGAGCAUAGCAGUGAAAAUAAAGGCGAUCAUGGCAGCUCACUGUUAGUCUUCUUGUCUGAAUUUGACCUCCUGCAACUGUUUUAGGAAUUAUUCUGAGUGCUGAAAAAAAACUUCAUCCUGAUGGUCUUGUUAUUUGUGUAGCUCAAACAGAGGUAUCAGACUCCUCCGAGGAAAUUCAUGGUCCUGGUGCAAUUCUUUUGCAAGUGAAGAGUCCCACCAUCUACUUCAUAGUCUGCUGUUCCUCCACAGUCAUUCUCACCCCCUCUCUUUCCACUAGGUGGCAGUCUUCAGCCAAUCAUGUAUAGUAAACAGUGUGCGAUUCAGGCGCUCAGCACUCAGUGUUCAGUGAACUCAUUAAACUUUGCAGUUUGAUUAUGAAAACAAUCAAAACACAAUUAUGAAUAAAGCUCUGUGGAGCUGUUAACUCAGCAUGGGUAAUGUGUGUAUUCUUGUUUAUUUUCAGACCCGAUGACCGAAAUUAGAUGUCCUUACGCAACAAUUCAUGGCAUCUUUCCUCCGUAAGAUGUUUGACAACAAGACACCAGAGAUGAUAAAGACUGAAAAAGACAGGCCAAGUGCAAUCAAUUUGUCCCUGUCAGAGUGAAUAAUCUUUUAUCUGUUCAACAAAGCCAGAGAAUCAUUAACUUUUGUGCUCAUUUCCGACACUUUAAUGAGAAAUAUUCAUACAAACUCACACCUGCACCGUAUAUAUAAUCAAAAAAUGUGUUAUUUCAUCAUAAAACAUUAAAAUAGAUAAAACAAGUUUGGUUAUUUUUAGAGCGUGCAAACAUCGCCUUCAACUCAGUCUUACUCCACCUCCAUUAAACUCUCCAUCAUUGUUUACAUGUUGUUUAUUUGUCUCACAAUGAGCCCAUUUUCAGAGAACAGUACAUGUCAUGAUUUGCAUUUGAUUAAAGACGGGCCGAAAUUAAGGUCCUUUGCACAUCCAUUUAACAAGCUGGGGUCAUCUGUCCCAGGAGGAAAACAGAGAAACAGAAAGGAAAACUUGGCAAUUUAUUCCUCCAAAACCCCUUCUGGAAGUAAUUAAUCACUGUCAUAUGAGGGCAAGCCUUAAAAGAUUGCAAAUAUUUGCUCAAGUGCCCCCUUGUUCCUAAUUAUAUCUCCCUGCUCGUCCCCCUCAUUAUUUAGAACCACCCACAAAAAGAUGCGACUCUGAAUGAGGACAAUCACACACCCAACCUCCUUUCAAUGAAAAUGUUUAAUACCAAAUGAAUGAGAGAGUUACUGUGCUGCCAUAAAGGCCCUAAUGAGGUAAUUUUAUUAGAACAGUUGGAAACCGAAGGAGGAAACAAACAGAGAGAGAGGCAGCAUAGAGAAAAUUAGUGUUACCCAAUUCAUUAAUUAAUCCGUUAGUGUGGGCAGCAAAUUAACUGCCCCAAAAAACCCCCAUUCAGAGAAGAUUAUGAUGAAAAAAAUACAUUGUUGCCCUCAAACGUAAUUGCAAGACAGUGCAAAUUCAAUUCUAAUGAGGCGAAAGGCACCCCCUUAACAUACAUCCCUUACCCCCUCCUCCUCUCCCCUCUAAAAGGGCCUUGCUCUUGUUGGAAGUUUAAGGAAGUAUUGAGAGUGAAGGAGACAAUAAUGAGUGAUCGGCCUGUUCCUAAGUGCUUUACAUGCUGCAAACAGGUAGAGAGGAUUGAAUGGCUCUCUUUCUGGGACUCCUGGGGGGCCGGUCUUCCCAGCACAACAACACUUGGCCCCUGAGAAAAGAGCCCGCUAAGGAGCCUGCACAGUGAAUGGACCUGUAGCUGCAGAGGGUCAAACUGAAUGGCCACAAGUUCUUCAAUUAUUACAAACUAUGUCGUACGGGCCUGGGCUUUUUACGUACACAUGUACACAAAUGCGAGCGCACAAAACACACACGUACAGCCCUCACCCUUCCACCUCUCCCUCUCAUCGAGUUAUCUUUACUCAGGCUUUGUCUCCUCUAAUUGGAGCUGAUGAGGGACUAAUUGGUAGCUUUUUUACAACACCCAGUACUUAAGCGAUGGCAAGCAGAGGGAGGCAGCAUGAGCGGAGUUAAUGAGAGGCUUUGCACAAAUAAAAGCUUUAAAAUGGGCCUGUUUCACCCAAUGAGGAGAAAAGGAAAGUUGAGAAUAUCUUUUGUGUCUCCCACAUCUUUCACUUGUGUGCAGGUAUCUGAAAAGAAGAGGGAGUUGCUGAAACGUUGAGCACUUGUGCGCAUAAAGGGAUCUGUUCUGUAUUGUUUGGGGCCCAUCGUUUAGUGUGUCUGUUAAUAAUGAGAAAGGGUCGCUCUUCAGAUGAAUGUGGCAAAGUCCUCAGUGGACAAUAAGUGCCCUCUCCUCGUUGGACCACACUGGACCAUGUUGAAGCAAUCUGAAAUAAAGGUUUGGUGCGUUUGCAUUGUUGGUAUGAGUAUGUCCAUAUGCAGAAUUGAGCCAACAAAUAACUCAAAAGGGAGCACUGAUGUUGUUUAAUAAUCAAAUUUUUGUCUGUUAUUGUUUGUAAUUGAAAUAAAAUCUGGUUUUCACAAUGAUGCAUAAAGCUUCUGAGCCUCUCAUUCAGUGGGUUAUGUAGAUCAAGGCUGGAAACAUAUUUACUUCUGUUAUAAAACUGGACGUUUUAAUAUGGGUAUUAAUGGUUCUUUUGGUGCCUGCCUCCAGUGGACGCUCAAGAAACUGCAGUUUUUAACAUUUCUGCUUUCUAAAUGUUGUUUUUAGAUAGUGGAGUUUGCGGCCUGGUAUCUGCACAGAAUUGUAAAAGUAAAAAACAAAGAAAUAGCCUCAAAUUUUGACCG